CAAAUCAUUGGGUGCAAAUCAGUGGACACUUGCAAAGAAUUUGAUACUAUGAAAGAAACUGCUCAGAGUGAUACUUCUGCAAAUGUCAGUGCUGAUGCUGAAGAAACUGUAGAAGAUGGUGGUUCUGUUUGUGUCAGUGAUGAUGCUCAAAAUGGUUUGAAGUUUUCCAAGUGCAACUUGGAAGAUGCUUCCAAAGAACCUUGUACUGUUCAAGAAGCUGAUUGGAGCAAUAGUUCUGCAAAUGUCAGUGCUGAUGCUGAAGAAACUGUAGAAGUUGAUGGUUCUGUGUGUGUCAGUGAUGAUGCUCAAAAUGAUUUGAAGUUUUCCAAGUGCAACUUGGAAGAUGCUUCCAAAGAACCUUCUACUGUUCAAGGAGCUGAUCGGAGUGAUAGUUUUGCAAAUGUCAAUGCUGAUGCUCAAAAUGGAUCUGAGCUUACCACAAAUGAGUUGGCAGUCAUUACCAUCAGUAAUGACAAGGAAAAUGAAUCCAAGCUUUUCACAUGCAACUCAGAAGAAGCUGACCAUGAUGAUAGCUCUGUAUGUCUCAGUUAUGGUGCUCAAAAUGAAUAUGUGGUUACCACAUGUCAUUCAGAUGUUACUCAAGAGGAUGAGGAUGAGGGUAAAACUGCAGGCGCUGAAAAGAAAUUGGAAGCAUCAGGAGGUGCUUCUUUGAAAUCUGCUAUGCAUCAAGAGGCUGCUGGAGAUAAUAAUACCACAGAUGCAAGUAAAGAUACUCAUGUUACUGAAGAAACUAAUCAAUCAUUCAAUAUGCAAAUGCCAGCAGAAUUUACUGAUGCAAAAGAACCUUCUAUUGAUGACAUAUGUGGUGCGUUCAGUGGAAUGAACCUCAAGGGGGAUGUAUAUUUUGAUCCUGCUGAGUUUUCCACAUGUCCAGGGAACAAAUUGAUCAUCUCCAGGAGGAGGAGAACACCUGAAGAGGAGGAAUACUUGCGAGGUUUCAAUCCACGGGCACCGAAUUUUCUUCCUCUGGAAUUGGAUCCAGAUGCAGAGAAGGUUGACCUUAAGCAUCAAAUGAUGGAUGAGCGGAAAAAUGCUGAAGAAUGGAUGAUUGAUUAUGCACUUAGAAGGGCAGUAACAAACUUAGCUCCUGCCCGGAAGAAGAAAGUGGAGCUUCUUGUCCAGGCCUUCGAGACUGUUGUACCACAUGAUGAGGAUGAUAAGAAAAACAUCUCACGCUCAAGGCCUGUUCAACCCUGUAACUGAUAACAUUAGAGGCAAGGAUUUUUUUUUCUUAGAAAUGUUGUUCCUGGCAUUAGUUCUGUCAUACGAACAAAUUCGUUUUUACACUAACUCCUCUUUUUGUUUUGUGAAUCUUCUGCAGUUAGUGGUUACACUAAUGUUGAUCUUGACGCGCAAGCUACUAACUCGGAGGUUACUGCAAUAUUAGCGCCAGUAACCUGCUCCAAGUUUGAAUGAGAGAGCUAUUUACUAGUUUGCUAGAGGUAACUAGAGAAUAGAGAUCUCUAGCUGAGUUGUGACAGAGGAGGAGCUCACUCCUGCUCCACAAGGAAGGAUAACUACUCAUUACUGAUCAAGGUAUUGCUAUCCAGUUGCUGAGUUGCAAAGAGAAUGCUCCCGGCUUGAGUUAUGUAAUUUAAGUGUGUGUAUACAUGUGUCUCGUGUGCUAGUGUUGUCUGAUAUUGUGCUGGUGGAUGUAUGAGGCUUGGAAAAUGUCAAUGGCGAUGAGGUCCAUGUCUCCUCUGGCAAAGAUCAAUAAAACUCAUCUUGAGUGCGCAAUGUUGUUACUGAGGUUGAAUCUGUGUCUCAAUAGCACCCCCAUAGCACCCCCAUAUACACAUGUUUGCAUUUGUGAACUGUUAUGUACUUCUUCCAUCCCAAAUUAUAAGUCAUUCCAAGAAUCUUGAAGAGUCAAAGCAUUUUAAGUUUGACCAAAUUUAUAUGAUAGGAUAAUAGCAUUUAAGAUGUCAAUUAAGUAUCAUUAGAUUCUUCAUCAAUUAUAUUUUCAAUGUAAUACCUAUUUGAUGUAAAAACUCUUUAUAAUUCUCUCUAAAAUUUUGGUCAAACUUGAUGUGCAUUGACUCUCCAAGAUUCUUGGAAUGACUUACAAUUUGGAAUGGAGGGAGUAGUAGCAAAUCCUGGGAGCCAUGUGUCUCUCUAAGUGCACACGCAUAUGAGUUUUCGUGAAAACACUCCUGCGCCAGUUACUGAAUCGUCUGAAGAUCAUCAGGUUGAUAUACCCGAAGGUGAACACAUUAACCGAUCUGACGGGUGCAGCUUAGCUGUCUCAGUUGCAGAACAGUCUAUGCCGGCGCUCACUGUCACUGCUCAGUGUCACCCGAAUGAGAUAUGCCUAAGGAGUCUCCAUCUACAUUGACGCAAGAACAGAUUGGUCCAAGUCACGGGUCCCAUUAAGUCCUAACGGACGAGAUCGACACGCAGACGGCAGCCGACCAUGGGUCCUCCGAUGUGACGCCACCCCCAACAGUCGGCAUCCUCGACGUCGCUGUCUGGUGUAGCCUGAUCUUCGUGUAUCACAUGAGUUGAUAUGCUUUCAAUUUCAUAGAAUUGUUAUUAAAAGUUGGUCACUUUUCGAGGACUGUAUGUGACAUGUACAAGUCGUGUGAGUAUCUUCCAUCCGUAAUUCUGUUCUUCAUCAGCCAAAUUUUUGACAAAAUUUUCAGUGCAAUUCGUGGUGCUUGGCAUGAGAGCAUCUUCAGAGUUUCCAAAACCCACGCCUGGUUGUGCCGAAAGCUGAAAUUCAACAGUUUCGUUUACUUGUGCUUGCCACAGUUCCAAGGAAUUUUUCUCUACUUCUUUAUAUAUAAAAUUUUCCAUUCAAAUUUCACGAGCAGGAAUAUUGACAUCCACUAUACCUUCCAGUUGCCGAACCAUGCUUCUCAGAUUAAAACACGAACUGGCAAAUUCAAUGGAAGGAUCAUCAUGUUUACUUGCAAUGAGGAACUAACAAACAUUGAAAGAGACAGAAAUUCUCAUGCUGCCCCCAAGAAGGAACCUGGAUCGUGACAAUUUCAUGGUGAUCAGAGUUCUGGAGCCGAAAUACUUGACAGACAUCAAUGUAUCAUAGCAAUCAGACAGGCAAUCAUCAUUAAAGGAAUACAUGAAAAAGAGGCCAUGAAGUUUCUGCUCACACACAAGGACCAUUUACAUAGGAGGUAUAUGGAAAACCCAAGAUACAGUAAUAGUAGUACAGGACUUGCAGUAACUCUGGUUCAAUUUUUUUUUUUUUUGCAGUAACUGUCCAUGCAAUAGAAACUGAGUUUUCAUACAACACUAUUUGCACCCUCUCAGGGUACAUGACUUCAUUUCAUACAGGCUUUUGAGACCGAGCUACAAAACUUCGGAGUUCCCUUCAAUAUUACAUGAUAGGCAGUAGCACUCAAUGGUUUAACAACAGGGUAAACUACCUCUAUGUUGCCAACUGUUAUCCUUGCCUAGUCAUCUCUAAGGAUCCCAUGUCAAAAACUUCAUGUCCUGGCAUCCAUGCAACACCGACCGAAGAUCUCUCCACAAGUUGUGUAGCCUAACACAACCCAUGUGUACCUCUGAUGUCAUCAGUUGUUCCUCCCAUUAAAAAGAGUUGUCUCUUGUCGGCAAAGAAUGAUGUUCUGAACAGCUGAAGUGCAUUGUGCGCAUGGAGAGGCUGUAGGCUGUAGGCUCCCUCUGUACUGAUGACUAUCAGGAGUUCAGGACCCAACUUUUCUCUUCAACUCUCAAGGCAGGCUACAGGAAUAAUGAGGCAAAUGCAAGUGUCGGAACGAUGAAGAGUUGCCUUGAAGAAUUAUCGAGCUGUAGAUUAGUACCAGUAGUACUUCAUAUCAGACAGCCAAGUAUUUUUGAAUAUUUUCAUGAUUGAUUUUGUUUUUUAGAACUUGCAUUUUUAUGAUUUUACAGUGGAGAUAAAGAAACAUUUGAUUAUUUAUUUAUUUAUUCGAAUUUAUAUAAUACCCAAUGACGUCAAUGUUUUCUGGUCGGCUGGUCGAUCCUAGUCGACCUGGGACCGACCAGGCGAUUAAUCGCGAUUAAUCAGCGACCAGGUCGAUUAAUCGAUCCUGAUCGUCCCCUGGUCAUCCCUGGUCGUCCAGACAUAUCAGCUGGUCGACCUAUAUAUAUAUACCUCUAUAUAUACAAUAUAUUAUACACAACAAAGGAAGCAUUAAGACUGCAUUAGUGUAAAUCAACAUUUCUCUUCCUCUUCAACUUGUGCUGGCGCCUCUAGAACAGUCCUUGAACUCUUUUUGAUGUAAACCAACAUCUCCUUCUUAACUAUUUCUGGAGAACUGGGACAACGAACAACAUCUCCAUACCCCCGACAUAUCUGCCCAGUCAAAAAAGCCCAAAAACAGAGCACAAAACCUGGUCGUCCAUGUCCUAAUCGGACGAUUAAUCGCGAUAAGUGGACGACUAAUCGGACGACCAGAUUUCUGGUCGACCUGGUUGGGUCGAACCUCCUAAUCGAGCAGUCCUGACCAACCAGGACGAUUAAUCGCGAUUAAUCGAAUGACCUGAAAACAUUGACUGACGUUAGUAUUUUUAAAGCUUCUAGGUUUAUUUUGAACUUAUUUGAUUAUUCUAGCGAAACUAAUUUUUUCAUUUAGUUAAUAAUUCAAACUUACAAAUAAUUUAGAAAGAAAAGGGUAAGAGGUCUAAUUCACUUGAUCGUCUUGGGCUGAAAUUGCUUGAAUCCACCUAUGCCUCUUGGUUAAACUAUCCAAAUAAUUUGAAAUCUGGAUAUUGACAGACAGAUAUUGGUAUCUCAUGGGUAGGGAUGGCAAUGGGUAAUUACCCGCUGGGUAUGUGUUUACCUAUAUCCUUACCCACGAGAAAAUAUUUUACCCGCUAAUUUACUCAUACCCAUGCACGGGUAAGAGUUUUUUCCCAUACCCUUACCCAUGUGGGUAACGGGUAACCAUUGGUUAUCUUUACCCAUGAUUUUAAGAAUAUUUGCUAUAAAAAAUACAUGUUUUAAUAUAUCAGGCUCCCAAAUUUAGCCAAAAUAUCAUAAAUCAUUAAUAAACUCUUCAAAUAUAUAAGCUACACGAACACACAAUCAAAUGAUCUAAUGGAUAAAUCCAUCAUUACUAGAUAACAAGUCAUAAAAUCCAUAAGUUCCAUAAUUCUACUAUAAUUUAUCGGGUUCAAUUUACCCAUGAGUUAACGGGUAUGGGCAAUGCAGUCUCAUACCCUUACCCGUUUUACCCGCUGAGUAAAGUUUUUUUUUUCUAUUAUCUUACUCAUGGGUACAAAAAAUAGUCAUACCCUUACACUAAUGAGGUAAUUACCGCUCUGAAAAAAAUGAGGUAAUUACCCAUCGGGUUUCGGAUUUCGGGUCAAAAUUGACAUCUUUACUCAUGGGCAUCAGCCGUCAUGUAUCCGUAUCUGAUUUGAUUAUCCAUAUCCAUAUUCGGUAUCUGACAGAACACCCGGAUACUUGAAAUUAACUAUCAGAUUGGUCAAAGAAAUAUCUGUCCUAUUUUUAUCCCUACAAGCUACCAUUCAGUCCUAGACUACCCAUCAAGUACCAAGUUAGAUGAGCCUAAAAUCAGUCAUUGAAUGAACCAUUGCCUGCACAAAACACCUGAAAUUUGCUGCCAUCACUGCCCUAUGGGCUACCAAAAUCAGAAACACAUGAGUUGCCCUGAUCAGCUAGUGCUUCAUUUUCUUAAUUACUUGAAUUCAUCUUUUCGCUCUUUGCAAGAAAUCAUAUGACUGAAUGCUAGCAAUAGGAACUAACAAAAGUGAAUUAUCGAUCCGGUGAUCAGUGGAGUAAUGAUCAGUUAGCUAGACCUAUCUAGCACAUGUAUUACAGUUACAUCCUAAAAUUUAAUCUUUACAUCUCAACCAACAUAUAGAAAUCAAAGAAAAUGGGAGCAAGCAAGACUCACAGCAGCGGCUUUGGUUCUAGCACUUCUGCACUUGGCUGGAGCAUCCGAGGGCAGAGUCAGGAAUGUGCAGUUGUGCACUCAAUGGUCCUCUUCUCCUGGAAUUAUACCACCGCCUUCUAACAUGGUCUGCAGUAGAAUUACAUAGUAUGAUGGGGGCAUUUCAAGUAUACAGGAAACCGAAAAACCACCGAUACAUAGAUCUGCAACUUUGCCUAAGUCAACUACACAGGUACAGUUUGAAAAUCAACAAUUACAUGUUACAUGAUUCUAAGGGCCAACUAAACUUAGCAGUAAUAAGCAAAAGAACUGAAGAGACUGGCACCUUCUUAUGAUCAUGUGAUCAGCUCCAAAACCUAAUUUCAAGUUUUUCAUUAUGGCUGCGCACUGCUAAAAUCUAAUUUCAAUAGCCUUGCAAAAAUAGCUCAUAUUUUUGUUUUCUACAGAAAAAAAUAGACAACACAUUCAGAUAGCAGAUCUGCAACAGGAAUACACAGCUGAAUGGUAAUUCGGCAAUUUAUGUGUAUUAUAUCAACAAAAAGUGAUAAUAUAAACUUUUAGAUGCCUGUAAUAUAUUUCUAUAAUUUUUUAAGUAAAAUAAGGAAUAAGGGAUGUCAUUUAUAAUGGCUAUUGGAAUAUCUAAGCAGUUAACAGACUCCUACAAGUAAAAUAAUGCAUUAAGAAUUAAGGGGCGAAAGCAUCUUGAAAUAGAGUGCAAUAAACAUUGAACUGGGCCAAAGAGAUCGUACCAGAGGUCUGAAACCAUGCAUGUGUAUGUGCAAAGCAAGUAGCCUGCAAAAACUGACAGAAACUUGGCAACAAUUUUUGUCACAAACUUAGAAAGUUACAUAUAUGUCAAAGCUGACCUCAUAGUCAUAGCAUCAUAUAUGUAUACUGCAAGAGCUUCUGCCUCAUAUAGACAUAUUUAAAACUUGUAAGAAGUCUUUUCGCUGCACCUGGUUUUAUGUUUGUGCUGAUCUUAGACUUCCUUCCUAGCUCUCCGCAGUUAGGCCAGUGGUGUUGGAACUGUAUCCUCUCUUUCUCCCCUCUUUUAUAUGUCUGGAUGCUUGUAUUUCCGUUUAUCUGAAAUGGAAAUGGAGGAUGGCCAUCGCGUGGAAAAAGAUUGGCUUUAGAAAUAUGAAAUGCAAUAGCAAUGUGUGCCAAAAUCUAUACUAUGCAACAUCAAAUACGGAAGAAGAACAAUCCUAUUAUCUAAUUCAUCAAAGAGAAGCAGUGUGGCCGGUGUCGAAACCUUAGAACGGAAGAGCAGCAAGCUGCGGCCGUGACGUGGCCGAUCGAGCGCCCUCUCGCUGUCAAACGGACUGCCGAGCCUUGGGUCUCCGCUGUCCAGUAGGAUGGGGGUGUGCCGUGCCGGCCAGCAGCUCGCGCCCAACGGCGACCAUCACGGCGGCGGCGACGCAGACGUAGACCUCACGCCCGGCGGCCUUGGCGUGCUUACGGGCCGGGCCGGGCCGGCUUGAGCCUUAUAGGGCCGUAGGAGCAGCCCGUGGACGGGCACGGCACGGCCCGAUGGAUCAGCCAUGCCGGGCCGUGGUGGGCGGCCCAGUUGGCCAGCAGAUCCUUGUUCUCGUAUCGAUGUUUCAGCAUAACAGUAUCUGAAGAACCUAAUGUGCCCAUUGUAGUUUGAAGCAUGUUUUCUUUGAGGCAAUCACAAGUUCAGAGCACAACUGGAGAAACAUUUUACCUGUUCUUGUAGGGAAAUACAAAACACCCUACACAUGUGUCAGAUUUUGACAGAUUGACUGAUUUUGGGCCUUGUUUAGUUCACCAAAAAACUAAAGACUUUUUAAGAUUUUCCGUCACAUCGAAUCUUGCGGCAUAUGCAUGGAACAUUAAAUAUAGAUGAAAACAAAAACUAAUUAUACAGUUUACCUGCAAAUCACGAGACGAAUCUUUUAAGCCUGGUUACUCCAUGAUUGGACAAUGUUUGUCAAAUAAAAAUAAAAGUGCAACGGUGUCAAAAUCCAAAAACUUUUUGGAUCUAAACAAGGCCUUGAUCGUGUUGUAUAGGGCUAUAAAUAGAAUGAUGUAUUGUACAGGGCUAUAAAUAGAAUGAUGUAUUGUACAGGGCUUUUACUCUCUUCUUAUUUAUGUACGGAAUUCCUUCCUUUUCUGAGCAUGGGUUCCUAUCCCACUAUUGUAUUGAAAUGGAAAUACAUUAGCAAUUGGGAACUGCGUAUUCAUCACAAGGUUCAACUAUCAGAAGGUGGCCAAAAACUGGCCCAAAUUCUAUCUAGGGCGCGGCAUGCAUCAUCCUCUGAGGUAAAAGCCAUCCCAACUUGUCGCACAACUACAGUUUGCAUUUGAUUGUUGUCCACCUAAUAAAUAAAAGUACAAUAAAGCAUAAUUGACAUAUGUAAAUACAGUUUGAAUGUAUUGCAAGCUGACAGUUGCAGUAGACCCAGCAGGCAAGGACGUGGCUUUGAACACUCGCUGAUACGGAACCUGACGCUGUCAAUUAUGGCAGAAGAUUUCACCGGGCUCAGGAUGGUGGAGUGUGUACUAGUACAUGCACUGAUGGCGAGGAGCUGAUGCUACAAUCACGGUGAAAGAACUCUUUUGUCGUUGGUCAAUAAGACCAGCCAGGUGCAGGGUACUGUCGCACGAUUUCCUUGUCCUUUUUCUUUCAGAACCAUAUCUUUAUAAAAACUAAGGCCUUAUUUAGUUCACCUAAAAACCAAAAACUUUUUAAAAUUUCAUAUCACAUCGAAUUUUGCGGCAUAUGCAUGUAGCACUAAAUAUAGAUGAAUAUAAAAACUAACUGCAUAAUUUAUCUGUAAAUUGUAAGAUGAAUCUUUUAAGCCUGGUUACUCAAUGAUUGGAUAAUGUUUGUCAAAUAAAAACGAAAAUGCUACAGUAUGUAAAACCCAAAAAAUUUUGGAACUAAACAAGGCCUAAGCAUCACCAUUUCUAUCUCAUUUAAACAUCAUCAAAUUUUCUGACCAUUUGAAGAGAGAGUGCGCCUACAAAGCUUAUAAAACCUUGCAGCUGCUGACUGUAGUCACGAAGCUAGCUACGUCUCCGUCUCCACGUUCCACAAUCCACUACAACACUCCGGACACCCAGCUAUCCGCCGGCCUCAGCAGCAUCACCCAGAGCUCUCGUCCUCGCCGCGGUCGACAUGAGGCAGGCGCCGGCAUGGAAGCGGUCUUACGACCGCUGGAGUGAGGAGGAGACGCACGAGCUCAUCGAGGCAUGGGCGCCACUCUACAUUCGCCGCCGCAGAGGUACCAACAAGGACGCGUCGGUGCCGCUGCACAAUCGCGGCCGCGCGCGCAGCUCCCGUAUUGCCCUCGUCACCGAGGAGUGGCGCGCCGUGGUGUUCGCGGUGAACCUGUACCGCGCCAUCACCGCCCGCCCACGCCUCGACUCCUGCCGGACGCAUGCUCAGUGCAAGGAUCGCGUGAAAACCCUCAGGAGGAAAUACGUGAAGGGGCAGGCCGGCCCAUUCUUCAGCGCUCUCCACGCUGAUGAAAUCGCCGGCCGCCGCGCUGGAGCGGCGGAGCGCCGCGGGGCGGAUGACGGCGGCCCUGCGGUAGGCAACGUCGUUACGGAGGAGCAUGACGCCGAGUUCGAUGCAGCUGUGGGCAAAGAAAGCGGCGGUUCGGGGGACGCUAGCGGCGGUGCUUCCGUCGACGGGCGUGGGGCUGCUGCAGAGGCCGCGCGCCGCCGUGCUACUUUUGUGCCGCCGCCGAUCCCCAAGAGACCGAGAACGAGAAGCGCCAAGCCGGCUGUGUCGUCGUCUGCCAGUGCCAACACGGCGGUGGACGAUGGGGAGGCGCGCGUCAGCGAGCCAGCGGAGCCGAAGGCCACCGUGGUGGACCUGUCGGCUCAAGCCCUGGCCGCGGGGUUCGUCGACGCAGCGGUGGUGACCAAGCUGGCGGAGAUAUACAAGAAGCUGAGGUUGAAGGUGCUCGACGUCGAGAGGGAGAAGGCCGCCGCGGCGGCACGCUGGAGCCGGCAGCCGUGCAUAGUGCCCUUUUCCUGUCCGCCAUUUAUACGCAUGCCACACUUUUGGUAAGCGAACCCUGGCCGGGCGGCUGUUCCUCCUCUCCCUGCCCAUGCCGAUCUCGCGUCUUCUCUAUGACAUGUUGUCUAGCCGUGUUCUUGCUUCUCUUUACCAGGAAUCAGGAAUCAAAGUAGGGAUCAGGAACUGCCUGCACCGCACCGAUCUAGGAGAAAUCCGUUGUUCUGGAAUGCGUGUAUUCUGUUCGCGAACCUGCUAACGCAAUGCGUGUGUUCUGCUGAAAGCUAGCAAUCUCUCGUAACAUGUCUGUUAUGUUCUUUUGUGAAAAAUGUAAGGUUUAGUUGCUAAUGAAACAAACCAGCAAUGUUCAGUUGCCAACUAUUUGCUCUUCAAUUUGCUAUCGCAUCAUGCAAGUUCUGUGAGAGUGAGACUUCGCUGGUUUGCCUGCUAUGUUAGCUGGUGGGUGUGUGAUUGUUGCUGAUGACGCGGCAUAUUCCGCCUUCCCUCCAGCGGAAAACUCCACAAAACUGCACGCAGAAAACAGAUCAAUUGCCGACGUCACUGCCUAUUCUUGGCCAGACGGCCGGCUUCCCCACAUCCCAACACAAACAAGGGAGAAAAAAAACCAAAGACGAAAGAGGGAAGAAACGGAAGAACACCAAGAAAUUGGCGAAUCCCUGACGCCCCCCCUACCUUCAAUUCUCACCCGCCUGCCCUGGUUGUUUAUCCAGCCAAUUUGAUUAGGGCGCCACACGGAACCCUGGUUCUUGAUUUUGAUUCAAUCACGGGUUGUGUGGUCAUGGCGGGUCACCCCGUUCUUCUUCUCUUCCACGAGUUCAGGAGGUAGGGUGAGAGAGAACAUGGAACGACAGGGGAUGGAGGGCAACAAUCUUCUGCAUUUUCUUAAUACCCCAAGCGCUCAUUACAGCAGGUUAGUAGUUUUUUUUUCAGUCUUGUUUCUGAUUUUAUUUUUAUUGAUUGAUGCAAUCUCUGGCUCCAUCCUUCGCAUCUGUCCAUCCGGGACAUGCACAUUCCAAGGAAAUGUCAGUUUGAUGGUUUGCUCCUCUUUGUCUUGAAGGACUUGCGACAGAUUUGAAGCCCAGCAAGGUGGCGAUGAUAAUUCCGAGACAUCAGGUUUGUGCAUGUUCUGUGACAUCUUACUUCCCCGUUUUCACCUUUGUCAAUGGUCUGUGACAUCUUCUAUAAUAUUGCUAUUUGGAUUGAGAAACAGGAAAGGAGUUGAUGUCAUCAAUCACAUUUAAAUUGGGACUACCUAAAAUUAUAAUCAUCUUGACGUGAGAGAAAUUAGAGUAAAUAUAAAUAGCCUUAUGUGAUAAAUGAUGGGUAGGUGGAGCUGCUGGUACAAUAUCCUUUAUUUGUUAACUGGCUAUGCCUGAUUUAUGUGUUAUUGCUGCAAAUGACUACUGAUAUCCAAAUGAUUUCUUUGUGAUGGUUUUCAGAUACCGAUCCGGCUAAUGCAAGGGAAAUGUUGGAAUAUUUAUUGAACCAACCAGCAAACAAAUACUGCGCAGACUGUGGCAAUCCAGAUCCAAAAUGGGCGUACGUGUCACAUAUUCCAUUCACUCUGAAUAUUCAAUCAAUUUGGCUUAUGCUUGCAAAACACUGAUAGAGUUGCCUUUUGGCAAAGGAUAAUUGUCCUCGGUCAGUUUUGUAAAGUCUCUUUAAAGGGGUCUGACAUUAUAUUUAUACAGCUUUACUGCUUUAUUAGUACAUAAAUGACCGAACAUGAAAAUAUGGACAUUUGAGUUAACCUAACUUAAGUAUAUAGGAUACAUGUUUGGUCUGAUUGUUUUAAUCAGAAAUGUGGUUCUGACAAAUAAUUUUUAAAGAUAUAAAUUUGGAGCACAUACAAACUUCAAUCUUAUAUUUCAGAUGGUCCCCAAGAUUUCGUCUACAAUUAAACUGCUUUUGCACUUGCAGGGCCCUGCCUUUUGGUGCAUUCAUCUGCAUUAAGUGCUCUGGAACUCAUAGAAGUCUUGGUGUGCACAUAUCAAAGGUGGCCAAUGGACUUCAAUCUUUGUAUUUUUUUAGUUCCUAUAUGUUCUGCCAUUUUUACCAUAGAUUGGUUUAUUCAAAUUUCCCUUUUUGUUGGAGCUAUUCUAUAAAGCAAUUCUUUUAAAGAACAUAUAGCCUUCCUGACCAAUAAAUGUGCAUUGCAGUCACUCAUUAUUUCCCUUGUCAAAAGGAAUUACUGUAGAAAACGAUUAGUGCCCAUUUUCUUUAUUGUAAUGCUACUCUAUUUUUUGCUGUUAUUUCUAAGCCUUACCAUAUUGUGCCCUAGUACUGAACUAAUCGACUAUUCAUUUUGAAUUGAGUAUAGGUGAUUUCUGUGAAUCUGGAUGAUUGGACAGAUGAAGAAGUCAACUGUUUAGCUGAAUCAGGUGGAAAUUCUGUUGUUAACACAAGGUUUGAAGCCUUUUUACCCGAGAACAAAAAGCCAAAACAUGAUUGUUCAACUGAGGAGCGUAAUGAUUUUAUCAGGUACAUGUUGAGUUAGUUGAUUGUCAGUAUUUGUGCUAAUUGUAUCUGAUGAUACUUUGUUUUUGGAUGUCUAUGUAUGCAGGAAAAAAUACCAGUUUCAACAGUUUGUGUGUGAUCCACAAUUUUCAUGCCCUUUACCACUUAACAGAAAGCAUGCACCACCAGAUAAAAGUCACCAGCAGCAUAAUAGCAGCAAAUAUGGUUUUGGCCAUACUUUUAGGAAUAGCUGGAGAAAAAAGGAUUCAGAUAACAAAGGCCUAAAGAAAAUGGUGCGACCACCUCACUGAUGCUAAUUUUCGAGUGUAUGUGGCACUUGAUAUAUAAUGUUUACAUUAGUUCUGUGUUUUUUUUUGGUUUUCAGUCGGAUGUGGGAAUGAUAGAAUUUGUUGGAUUAAUCAAGGUCAAUAUCGUAAAAGGCACAGAUUUAGCUGUUCGUGAUGUGAUGUCGAGCGAUCCAUAUGUCAUGAUUAAUCUAGGGCACCAGGUAAGCACAUUUCUGUGGGUAGCUAUGGUGGCUUAACUUUGCAAAGAUAUUUGUUUUCUUAUCCAAUUGUUUUGGGACCUCCAGCUAACACAGUCAUAUUUUUCAGUCCAUGAAAACAAGGGUGAUAAAGAACACCCUGAAUCCUAUCUGGAACGAAAGACUAAUGCUUUCGAUCCCUGACCCAAUUCCACCUCUUAAGCUGGUAUGCAUUCAUGUGUUUCUGACUUUUGAGUUGUUGAAGUUGUUUAUACUAUAUAAUUGAUCCCUGCUAAGCAUCUCUCUCAUUUCUCUAUCUAGUGACUCAAUUAUCCAAGUAAAUAUUCGCUUCAGAUGAAAUGUUUUGUUCAAACGCUUCACUGACCGGAUGUUCUGUUCUUUUAACCUGGCUAUAACAGCAAGUAUUCGACAAGGACACAUUCAGCUCCGAUGACCGGAUGGGGGAGGCCGAGGUGGACAUCCGGCCACUGAUUGCAGCAACGAAGGAGCACGAGAACUCGACCAUCACCGAACCGACAGAACUCUACAGGUGGUCAGCCAGUGAAGACAGCAACGGCGUGCUCGCCAAGGACAGCGUCAUCUCCGUUGCGAAUGGCAACGUCAAGCAGGAGAUCACACUGAAGCUCCAGAAUGUCGAGCGAGGUGAAAUCGAGAUCGAGAUCGAGUGCGUGCCACUCAGCCAGUAGCAGUUUUUCAUCGUGAAGAGGACUGGAAGCAAAAACAGGGAGAAGACAAUACAUAAUGCUCCAUUGUUGUGACACUGACACUGCUUUGCAAUGCACAGAGAGACCUUCACUUCAUUCCGUUUCUUUGCUCCAUGCCUGUAAUUCGUGUUGUGCAUGUGUGAGAUAUGUUGUACGGUAGAUAGGCAAAGGGAAAUUAUCUACUUGUAUUGUAUUACUUUGAUUUUAGGCAUAUGGUUGAACUAUUUUCAGUAGAUUUCCAGACCCCGGUUGUUAGUUUUCCGUUCUUCACGCUGGAUAGGGAUAAAGAAUAUUGUAUUCUAGCCAUCCGUUCUUCGCACCUCAUUAUUCAUUUCUCUUUCCCUAUGCCACCCCCUAUAUCUCAAUAUGCAAACAACACCUCAAGAAAUUUGGCAAGGGUGGAAACUGAAACAACAGAUAGAUUUGUUCGAAAUCCGAUGUGGACGCUACUAGGGACAUGUUUGAUAUAGACUGUCAUCUAAACUUUAGUUUUAGUCUAUCAAACUGGUGGAGUAGUUGGCGAAGGCAAGCCAGAAAGAAAAAAUUUAAUUAGUUAGAUGAACUGCUUUGAGAUUUGUGUAAUUUUUAGAAAGAGUAUUGAAACUAAUGUGGACUAAUUUUUUGUUUCACUAUAAGGCCAUCCUCAAUGGAAGUUUCAUGACAUAGUUUCCAACACAUCAAUAUUUUGGAAACAGUGCAUAGGAGUUUUAUGGGGAUGAAACUCUCUCUACUCCUAUGAAACUCUUAUCAUCUCUCUUCAUUAAUAUAGCGCCACAUCAGCAUAUUUAAUGUGCAUGAAACUCUAAUGAAACCCCCAUUGAGACUGGCCUAACUAAUUAUUACUCCCUCCAUCCAUCUACCGGGGCAUAUUACCAAAAAAUAAAGUUUUCAAAAAUUGGAGGCGUAUAACGUACGGGCCAGUUCUCCAUGCGCCCACGCUCGUCCUACGAGACUCGGCUCCUCGUACCAGACGCGACAUUGAUGCAGCGCCGUCUGCCAUCGCUUCAACUACCCUACACCGUUUCCCUCCCGUUAGCUAUCCUGGCCGCGUGGUCGAAUACAAGUACGCUACAAGAGGCCACGCUGCUGAGUACGCUACGCCGCCGCGCUGCUAGUCGCUCCACGCUGCCGUGCUUCUCGACCUCUCCACGCUGCUGCGCUGCGAGUAGCUCAACGCCUCCACGCCGCUGUGCUGCUGCAAGACAAUGGAUCUCCAUGACGACGACGGCAAGAUCCAGUACGUGCGUGGUGUCAACUGGGCACCAGAUUCUGACGACGAAGAUGAAGAGAGCGAGGUACAGUUUGUUCUUGGGCAGCCUGAACAAAUGCAGGAUCAUUCACAGCAAUGUGGGUUCUAGCAUAAUCUAGGUACUCACCUUGAUUCCAAUCAUUCCAGACCAUGGCAUAAUCGAGUUCAUUGGCAGGGCCAUCCUACUCCCCUAUCUCGUUCCAAUCUAUUGGAUUUUCCAAGUCUGAAUCUAGUGGAUUUUGGUUCAAAUCGAUCUCUACCCCAGGCAUGGUUUUAGUACAGCAUGAAUGAGAGACAGAGAGAGAUGGAAUGGUGCAGCGAGCCAGCGAUCAUAUAUAUAGAUCAUGCAAGCCUAAGUGAUGUCUGUCGCUGAACUCUGGCGGCAAACGAAAUUUGCAGAGAAUAAGAAAACGAAAAGAAGAGAGAAUUACGCGCACGAUGCCAGGCAUGGUGAAAAAGGAAAGGUUGAAAAUUUCGCGCUGUGAACAAGGAAGGAAGAGAAUUGCGCGCGCGCGGUGCCAGGCAUGGUGAAAAGGAACGGAAGAUGAUUUGGCGCGGGAUGAAAAGGAAAGCUGGGCGCGCGCUAACGGCGUUUGGGGAGAGUUUUGCGGAGUAAUUGCUCGGUGAUCCAACAGUCGCAUGCGGAGUAAAUGGAAAUGAGGUAUCAAGAAAAAAUCCUGCAUGCGUAGACUUUACUUGGUCAUCGCGUCACACCCAAAGACACCCCCGAUAGAUGGACGGAGAGAGUAGUUCACUAGUUUGCAAAAGUGAGCAACAAAAUUUAAGAUUCAUGUGAUUUUUAGAAAGAAGAAUAUUGGAGCAGUUCUCUCUUUUACAUACAGUACCACCGAACAAACGACGGUGCUCUAACGCUCAAGACUAGGAACAUGGCAUACAAAUCUUGACCACUUAAAACACACACGGAAAUAGUACCUUGCAUAUUGAAUAUUUUUAGCUUAUUCACCACCCACCGCCUUGUUUAAGUACAUUUUAUCUAGAUCGGAAACAUUCAUCCAUCGCAUCUCCACCUCACCGCCUUCCUUACUACAUAUCAGCAUAGCUCUGCCUUCUGAAAUUACAGGAAAUGAAGGCACAUCCAUCUACUCCCUGGAAUAGGUGCCGGUCAAAUUUCUUAAACUUUAUCUAGAUUUAUAAAGAAUAUUACAUUUGUAUCUCUAAACAAAUUAAUUCUAAAAAUUGAUUCAAAGAUCUAUCCAAUUAAUUAUGUAUUAUAAGUAUUAAAUUUUUUCAAUAUAUAUUUAAUCAAAAGCUGAAUAUGUUUAACAUUUUGGAAAAUGAGAACGACAAAAUGAAUAGGAACGAAGGAAGUAUCAUUUAUUAUCAAUAUAUCCUAUAUGUUAAUUAAUUAAUUUAAUUACUUCAAAAUUCAAAAAUGAAAGGCUCAAAUUUAUUUGAGAUAUGUAGUGUAGCAUUCACUAGUACAGGGAAGGGCUUUAGCCCCGGGCCGUAAGCGCCUUUAGUCCCGGCUACGGAACCGGGGCUAAGGUUUCGAAACUAAAUGUCCCACCUUUAGUUUCGGUUCCGUGUACCGGGACUAAAGGUUCAUCUUUAGUCCCGGUUGGUAACAGCAACCGGGACUAAAAGGUGCGCCAGGGUGUGCCACCUGGCCUCCACUUUUAGUCUUGCUACCAACCGGGACUAAAGACUUUUUUCUUUUUUCUUUUUUCUUUUUCUUUUCAUUUGGUUUUCCAUUUAGGGUUUACAAUUAUGUUAUUGUUAUUUUCGAAUGCGUAUUGUUUGCUGGUAGUUUAUGGAACGCGUACCUAUAUAAUUUAUAUAAUUUAAAGGAUUACAUAUAAAUAUACUAUAAAACACUAUAUAUAUAUAUAAAUAAUUAUAUCUAUAGGUCCAUAAUAAAAUAUUUACACAUAUGCUUCACGGACAAAGUAUUUACAACACAAUUUUUCUCCACCACUCAAGCAUCGUACAAAUGAUCAUCGUUAUUUGGUUUCAUCUGCUCUUGAGGGUUGAAGUAGCACUCGCCGCCGGAAUCCAGGACUUGGUCAUUAAGAAAUCCUGCGAUUGUCUCCUGAAUUCCUUUUAGGCGCACCGCAUCCAACACCUGCUCCUUCAGCCACAUCUCCUUCAAUAGACAUUAAAGAAAAAAGUUAGAGGUAUGAAUAGGAUUUAUUAAAUAGCAACAAAUAAAUGAAAUAUACUUAUUAUAUAUACAUGUUACAUACUUUUAGGUGCUCAAGAUUAGUUCUUUUGGCAUACACCGUCAUAAACUUGCACACAUAGUAGCCACACAAAUUGUUGCCCGGUGUCUGCCGUAGAACCCACUGAAGUAAGAUGGGCUUUGAAAGUGCUGCAUUCAACUCUGGACGGUGUUUCUGCACGAACCCAGCCCAAACCCUAGCAAUAAAACGAUCAUUAUUAAUUAUCCAUUACCAAGUUAAAAGAGCAGAAUUUAAUAUAUAGAGAUCGGAGUUACCCUUGGAUAAUAUCUAUCAUUUCUUGGUAAUCAUCCUGUGGUUUUCUCAAUGAGUCAUAGAUUACCAAUUGACAUUGCGAGAGAUCAAUGACAAUUAGUAUCCAAUGAAAGCUGCAUUUGUGUGCAUAUGUAGGCAAAAUUAGUAUAUAUCUUCAUAUUGAUCUGAUUAAUUAGUUAAAUAGAAUGUACACACGAUAACGACACUUACUUAAAGUUGUAGGGAAAGAGUAUAUAUCUUUUAUAUUUUUGGUUGAUCAAGAACCUCCGUAGAUUUCUCUCUAUUUGAGUUCUCCAUAAAACAUACGGGGUCUUGUGGUCUUUGAAUACAACAUUUGGAUCCACAAAUCCAAUCUCCUUGUCAUUUCUAACUCUGAGGUCCCUCAUCAUGUUUCUGCAUAUGUAUAGCGGGUUUCUGUAAUUAGUUAUAUAUAUACAUGAUAAGUUACAGAGACAUUAUUGAAAGGAAGAAUCACUUACAGACAGAAACAACUCAUUAGAGAUUUGUCAAGAGCGUCCAUGUGGCAUAGUUGGUGUAGCUUAUUAAAUUGAACAUAAAUAAUAUCAUCACCACGGAAGUAAUGAUAGUUUCUAAUUCGGACACAAAUAUAGUCAUCUGCUUUUCUGACACACGCUUCCAUGUACCAUUUGUUUAGCAUGUACAUUUGCGUUCCAAGCUUGCUGAGGGCCGCAGGGUUGUAUAAACUCUUGCCAUAUGUAUAUUCCUUCUGCCAAUGAUCAAUUUUUGGAGCACUUUCAAUUGGUGCCCCCGCUAUCAUUUGGGCUAAGCUAAGACCAGUUUCCGCAAAAAAAAUUUCAAGCUCUUCAAAUUUUAAAUCUGCCGGUAUCUGCUGGUCUAGCACGUCAAUGUUUGAACCAUAUUCAUUUCCAAUGACUAGCGGGGGCACUGAUUGCUUUGAUUGUUCCCCGAGCUGUGCUACACCCUUACGUGCUCUUUUCUCUUUCUUCUUAUCUUCUUCUAUGGAUUUUCUUAAAGUGCGAUCAUAGUCCGAUAAAGAUGAUGAUUCUUUCUGAGCUUCACGCCUCUUUUUUUGUUCGGCCUCAACUCUUUGUCGUAGAUCUUCUGGCCGUAGUAAGAGGUACGGCUUCUUAGGGUUUCGCUUGGCUUCUCUUUCAGUCUUAAGUUUCUUGAAGAAACUAUCCACGUCUGAUUUUACUGAAGCAUUUAUUUCUGCAUCAGUCAUCUUAUAGGACGCUUCUUAGGAAUGAUAGCUUGUUUCUUUUCGGAGGCUUUCUUUUUUGGCGGCGGGGCGGCCGGCACAUUUGAUGGUGGUAUUGCUUUUGUUUAGCAUUUUCUUGAUUCUUGAUCAUCCGUGCCUGACCCUCUUCUGAGUU
rnacentral:lncRNA from 1 species